rnacentral:rRNA from 1 species
CGAGCCUGUGAAGGGGAGCAAAUCCCAAAAAUAAACGUCCCAGUUCGGAUUGUAGUCUGCAACCGACUACAUGAAGCUGGAAUCGCUAGUAAUCGCGGAUCAGAAUGCCGCGGUGAACACGUUCCCGGGUCUUGUACACACCGCCCGUCACACCAUGGGAGUCGGAAAUGCCCGAAGUCUGUGACCUAACCGUAAGGAAGGAGCAGCCGAAGGCAGGUCGGAUGACUGGGGUGAAGUCGUAACAAGGUACC